rnacentral:rRNA from 1 species
UGAACGCUGGCGGCAUGCUUUACACAUGCAAGUCGAACGGCAGCGCGGGCUUCGGCCUGGCGGCGAGUGGCGAACGGGUGAGUAAUGCAUCGGAACGUGCCCAGUAGUGGGGGAUAGCCCGGCGAAAGCCGGAUUAAUACCGCAUACGACCUGAGGGUGAAAGCGGGGGACCGAAAGGCCUCGCGCUAUUGGAGCGGCCGAUGUCGGAUUAGCUAGUUGGUGGGGUAAAGGCUUACCAAGGCGACGAUCCGUAGCUGGUCUGAGAGGACGACCAGCCACACUGGGACUGAGACACGGCCCAGACUCCUACGGGAGGCAGCAGUGGGGAAUUUUGGACAAUGGGGGCAACCCUGAUCCAGCCAUGCCGCGUGCGGGAAGAAGGCCUUCGGGUUGUAAACCGCUUUUGUUCGGGAAGAAAUCCUCUGGGCUAAUACCCCGGGGAGAUGACGGUACCGGAAGAAUAAGCACCGGCUAACUACGUG